rnacentral:rRNA from 1 species
UACGGGGGGAGCAAGCGUUGUUCGGAUUUACUGGGCGUAAAGGACGCGUAGGCGGUCAGCACAAGUCAGUUGUGAAAUCUCCGGGCUUAACUCGGAAAGGUCAACUGAUACUGUGCGACUAGAGUGCAGAAGGGGCAACUGGAAUUCUCGGUGUAGCGGUGAAAUGCGUAGAUAUCGAGAGGAACACCUGCGGCGAAGGCGGGUUGCUGGUCUGUAACUGACGCUGAGGCGCGAAAGCUAGGGGAGCAAACGGG